rnacentral:rRNA from 1 species
CGCCCUUAGAGUUUGAUCAUGGCUCAGAUUGAACGCUGGCGGCAGGCUUAACACAUGCAAGUCGAACGGUAUAGGUGCUUGCACCUGACGAGUGGCGGACGGGUGAGUAAUGUAUGGGGAUCUGCCGAAUGGAUUGGGACAACCACUGGAAACGGUGGCUAAUACCGAAUAAUGUUGAGAGACCAAAGUGUUUCGACAUGCCAUUUGAUGAACCCAUAUGGGAUUAGCUAGUAGGCGGGGUAAUGGCCCACCUAGGCGACGAUCUCUAGCUGGUCUGAGAGGAUGACCAGCCACACUGGGACUGAGACACGGCCCAGACUCCUACGGGAGGCAGCAGUGGGGAAUAUUGCACAAUGGGGGAAACCCUGAUGCAGCCAUGCCGCGUGUAUGAAGAAGGCCUUCGGGUUGUAAAGUACUUUCGGUAGUGAGGAAGGUUACUAUUAACAUAGUAAAUUGACGUUAAUUACAGAAGAAGCACCGGCUAACUCCGUGCCAGCAGCCGCGGUAAUACGGAGGGUGCGAGCGUUAAUCGGAAUGACUGGGCGUAAAGGGCAUGUAGUGGAUAAUUAAG